rnacentral:tRNA from 1 species
GCCUAGCUUAGUUGGUAGCGCGUCUGCCUUGUAAGCGCUAGGCCGCGGGUUCGAUUCCCGCCCGGGGCG